AGAGGGAUGGUCGAGGGGUUUAAGGCAGUGGUCUUGAAAACCACCAAGAAUUAAUAAUUCUUCGUGGGUUCAAAUCCCACUCCCUCUG
rnacentral:tRNA from 1 species